UACGAAGGGGGCUAGCGUUGUUCGGAAUCACUGGGCGUAAAGGGCGCGUAGGCGGCCGAUCAAGUCGGGGGUGAAAGCCUGUGGCUCAACCACAGAAUUGCCUUCGAUACUGGUUGGCUUGAGACCGGAAGAGGUAAGUGGAACUGCGAGUGUAGAGGUGAAAUUCGUAGAUAUUCGCAAGAACACCAGUGGCGAAGGCGGCUUACUGGUCCGGUUCUGACGCUGAGGCACGAAAGCGUGGGGAGCAAACAGG
rnacentral:rRNA from 1 species